GGAACUCCGAGCCUCCAGCUCUGCUCGCGGUGCCCCCCAAGGCUGAGGUUUCAGUCUGCAGUCUGCUGAUCCGAAAGAAAGAAGGCGGCUUUUGGAGGACAUAAUCAUUGCAAGUCGAGCUGCUGCUGAACCUCCCCUUCCAACAUCCAGCAGGUUUGUUCUGCAGGCCCCGAUGAUGGCACAGGCAUGAAAGAGCCCAGAGCUCGUCGCUGGGGAGAGGCUGCGUAUGGCGUUGUGAAGGGAGAGAUGGAGGAGGGGUUUGAGCAGCGCUGUGCAAGAAUGAACGGCUGGUAAGAGAAGAGGCAGGAGUCGGGCAGCGGUACUGCAGCUCCUCUGGCAGCUUUGCAGCUCAGUAGGGAAGCAGAAGAUGUGGAUGUGAAAGAAGAAGUCCGUUGCUGGGACGUUCCCCUGUUCUUCCCCCAGCUGUCCCCUUGCCUCAGCCUGGAUUCCCCUUGUGUUCCUGUAGGAUUCCCUUCCAUCCCCCUGGCUGCCCCUUGCUUUCCCCAAGGCUGCCCUUUCCUUUCUCAUGACAGCCCACCCAUCAUUCCCUCAGAGCCCCAAUGUCCCCCCCAGUGUUUCCCAGCAAGACCCCUUGAGACACCCUAUAGCCCCCCACAGAGCCCUGGAGCCCCUCGAGGACCCCCUCAGACCCAGUACACCUCCCCCGUAGCUGGCCCAUACCCACAUGGAGCCCCACAGUCCCCAGCAGCACCCCAUGUGCCCCACUGGGCUUCCCCGGAAUCCUCCUAUUUCCUCCCUCAGACCUCCUUUACACCUCCAAGAUCCCCCCUGGGAACUCGCUGACCCCCAUGUUCUUUGACAGUACCUCCAUCACCAUCCAGUGAACCCCAUAGCCCACCUUUGGCC
rnacentral:lncRNA from 1 species